rnacentral:SRP_RNA from 1 species
GCUGGGCGUGGUGGUGGGCGCCUGUAAUCCCAGCUACUCGGGAGGCUGAGGCAGGAGAAUUGCUUGAACCCAGGAGGUGGAGGUUGCAGUGAGCCGAGAUUGAGCCACUGCACUCCAGCCUGGGUGACAGAGUGAGACUCUGUCUCCA